rnacentral:rRNA from 1 species
AUACGUAGGGGGCGAGCGUUGUCCGGAAUGAUUGGGCGUAAAGGGCGCGUAGGCGGCCCGGUAAGUCUGGAGUGAAAGUCCUGUUUUUAAGAUGGGAAUUGCUUUGGAUACUGUCGGGCUUGAGUGCAGGAGAGGUAAUUGGAAUUCCCAGUGUAGCGGUGAAAUGCGUAGAGAUUGGGAGGAACACCAGUGGCGAAGGCGACUUACUGGACUGUAACUGACGCUAAGGCGCGAAAGUGUGGGGAGCAAACAGGAUUAGAUACCCUGGUAGUCCACACUGUAAACGAUGAAUGCUAGGUGUAGGGGGUAUCGACCCCUUCUGUGCCGCAGUCAACACAAUAAGCAUUCCGCCUGGGGAGUACGGCCGCGAGGUUGAAACUCAAAUGAAUUGACGGGG